rnacentral:tRNA from 1 species
UAGAAAGAAGCGAUUACGCAAUCGGUUUCGGCCCGAAGACUGGGAGCCCUACGCUCCCCUUUCUAGCUAG